GUUUAGGGGUAAACCUGAGAAACCCGAAAGGUCGAAGGAAGAAAUUCAUUCGCGUUUCGUCGCAGGCGUCGAGCGGGAUCGUGUGACGGGAAACGUUCGCGUUUUCCGCGCCUUCCGUUCUUCGAACCGGCGAUGAACGCGUGCACUUUUCUUCUGGUAGGACGUCGCGAUCCGUUGGGUGUCGGUCUACGGCUCGCGGUGGAGCCCGUUCGUCGUAUUUUUCGUACGUACGGACGGACCCGCGUGUCCCGGCUGACUCGCUCGACGGUAUACGAAAGGUUUAAGGCCGCUCUCGGAGCGUUCGGCUCGUGGCAAGCGCGCCAGAUGUGUCGGCGAUCGGACCUAGUGCCGAUUCUGACCUCUGGUGACUGUUGGCCGCGAAGUUCUCGAACAGACCUCAAAACCGAUCUGCGACGCUAUAGCUUUGGGUACUUUCAGGACCCGUCUUGAAACACGGACCAAGGAGUCUAGCAUGUGCGCGAGUCAUUGGGAAUCACUAAACCUAAAGGCGCAAUGAAAGUAAAGGUCUUCCUAGCGAAGACUUAGGGAAGACGGGCGGUUACGUUUACGCGUGACCGUUCAGCACUCCCGGGGCGUCUCCAUCUCAUCGCGAGAAGAGGCGCACCAAGAGCGUACACGCUGGGACCCGAAAGAUGGUGAACUAUGCCUGGUCAGGACGAAGUCAGGGGAAACCCUGAUGGAGGUCCGUAGCGAUUCUGACGUGCAAAUCGAUCGUCGGAACUGGGUAUAGGGGCGAAAGACUAAUCGAACCAUC
rnacentral:rRNA from 1 species